rnacentral:rRNA from 1 species
CACAGAGGGUGCGAGCGUUGUCCGGAAUCACUGGGCGUAAAGGGCGCGUAGGCGGUCUCUUAAGCGUGUGGUGAAAGCCCGGGGCUCAACUCCGGGUCGGUCGUGCGAACUGGGGGACUGGAGCUUGUCAGAGGCAGGCGGAAUUCCGGGUGUAGCGGUGGAAUGCGUAGAGAUCCGGAAGAACACCGGUGGCGAAGGCGGCCUGCUGGGACAGUGCUGACGCUGAGGCGCGACAGCGUGGGGAGCAAACAGG